rnacentral:rRNA from 1 species
GACGAACGCUGGCGGCGUGCUUUACACAUGCAAGUCGAACGGAAAGGCCCUGCUUUUGUGGGGUGCUCGAGUGUCGAACGGGUGAGUAACACGUGAGUAACCUGCCCUUGACUUUGGGAUAACUUCAGGAAACUGGGGCUAAUACCGGAUAGGAGCUCCUGCUGCAUGGUGGGGGUUGGAAAGUUUCGGCGGUUGGGGAUGGACUCGCGGCUUAUCAGCUUGUUGGUGGGGUAGUGGCUUACCAAGGCUUUGACGGGUAGCCGGCCUGAGAGGGUGACCGGCCACAUUGGGACUGAGAUACGGCCCAGACUCCUACGGGAGGCAGCAGUGGGGAAUAUUGCACAAUGGGCGGAAGCCUGAUGCAGCAACGCCGCGUGCGGGAUGACGGCCUUCGGGUUGUAAACCGCUUUCGCCUGUGACGAAGCGUGAGUGACGGUAAUGGGUAAAGAAGCACCGGCUAACUACGUG